rnacentral:rRNA from 1 species
AACGAACGCUGGCGGCGCGUCUUAAGCAUGCAAGUCGAACGGCAAGGGCAGCAAUGCCCCUAGAGUGGCGGACUGGUGAGUAACGCGUGGGUGACCUACCCUUGAGAUGGGGAUAGCCAUUAGAAAUAGUGGAUAAUACCGAAUACGCUCUGGAUGCUGUGGCGACCAGAGGAAAUCAGGCUACGGCCUGGCUCGAGGAUGGGCCCGCGUCCCAUUAGCUAGUUGGUGAGGUAACGGCCCACCAAGGCGACGAUGGGUAUCCGGCCUGAGAGGGUGUACGGACACAUUGGGACUGAGAUACGGCCCAAACUCCUACGGGAGGCAGCAGCUAAGAAUAUUCCGCAAUGGACGAAAGUCUGACGGAGCGACGCCGCGUGGAUGAAGAAGGCCGAAAGGUUGUAAAAUCCUUUUGUCGAUGAGGAAUAAGUGUGGGAGGGAAUGCCCGCAUGAUGACUGUAGUCGGUGAAUAAGCCCCGGCUAACUACGUGCCAGC